rnacentral:ncRNA from 1 species
UCUGGCACUGUUACUUUGAGGAAAUUAGAGUGCUCAAAGCAAGUCUACGCUCUGUAUACAUUAGCAUGGGAUAACAUCAUAGGAUUUCAGUUAUAUUCUGUUGGCCUUCGGGAUCGGAGUAAUGAUUAACAGGGACAUGCUCGGGGCCAUUCAUAUUUCAUAGUCAGAGGUGAAAUUUUUGGAUUUAUGAAAGACG